UACGUAGGGUGCAAGCGUUAAUCGGAAUUACUGGGCGUAAAGCGUACGCAGACGGUGAGAAAGGUCGGAUGUGAAAGCCCCGGGCUCAACCCUGGAACUGCAUCCGAAACCAUCUCGCUAGAGUAUGAGAGAGGGAAGCAGAAUUCCUGGUGUAGAGGUGAAAUUCGUAGAUAUCAGGAGGAAUACCUGCGGCGAAGGCGGCUUCCUGGCUCAUUACUGACGUUCAGGUACGAAAGCGUGGGUAGCAAACAGG
rnacentral:rRNA from 1 species